rnacentral:rRNA from 1 species
UAUGUGAUCGUCUCUCGCAUAUCAAUAAGCGGAGGAAAAGAAACUAACAAGGAUUCCCCUAGUAACGGCGAGUGAAGCGGGAAGAGCUCAAAUUUGAAAUCUUAAAGGGUUUCCCUUUACGAAUUGUAGUUUAAAGAAGUGUUUUCUGUUGAGGUUUUGGUAAAAGUUCUUUGGAAUAGGACAUCAUAGAGGGUGAGAAUCCCGUAUUUGACCUUUACUUUCAACUUUGUGAUACACUUUCAAAGAGUCGGAUUGUUUGGGAAUGCAGUCCAAAAUGGGUGGUAAAUUUCAUCUAAAGCUAAAUAUUGGCGAGAGACCGAUAGCGAACAAGUACCGUGAGGGAAAGAUGAAAAGAACUUUGAAAAGAGGGUUAAACAGUACGUGAAAUUGUCAAAAGGGAAGCGUUUGACACCAGUGUUGUUUUUCUGAAAAUCAAUUAAAGAACUGUUUAUGCUAAGUUGUUUAGACUUUAUCAGCUAACUGUUUAGUUUUGAGCUUUUCUUUAAUGCACUUUUCAGUUAACAAGUCAACAUCAAUUUCUUUUGCUGUAAAAAAGCUUGAGGAAGGUGGCUUGAGAUUCGUCUUAAGUGUUUAUAGCCUCUUGCCUAUGCAGUCGGAGAGAUUGAGGUCUGCAGCGUAGAUCCUUCGGGGCUAAAUGCAUUUGUGCUAAGUUAUAGCAUUUUAUAGACAACUUGUUGACUAUGAUUUGUCUUGUAGCUUACUCGCUUAUGUUAUUUUACCUACGCUUAGGAUGUUGAUCUACAGAGCGAGAGU